GUUGAACGCUAGCGGGAUGCCUUACACAUGCAAGUCGAACGGAGUGGCGAACGGGUGAGUAAUGUAUCGGAACGUGCCCAGUAGCGGGGGAUAAAUACGCGAAAGCGUAGCUAACACCGCCUACUAUUGGUCCGGUCGACACGGGAUUAGCUAGCUGGUGGGGUAAGGGCUCACCAAGGCGACGAUCCGUAGCUGGUUUGAGAGGACGACCAGCCACACUGGAACUGAGACACGGCCCAGACUCCUACGGGAGGCAGCAGUGGGGAAUUUUGGACAAUGGGCGAAACCCUGAUGCAGCCAUCCCGCGUGUGCGAUGAAGGCCUUCGGGUUGUAAAGCACUUUUGGCAGGGAGGCGGUACCUGCAGAAUAAGCACCGGCUAACUACGUGCCAGCAGCCGCGGUAAUAC
rnacentral:rRNA from 1 species